AACGAACGCUGGCGGCAGGCUUAACACAUGCAAGUCGAACGGGCAUAGCAAUAUGUCAGUGGCAGACGGGUGAGUAACACGUGGGAACCUUCCCAGAGGUACGGAACAACGCAGGGAAACUUGUGCUAAUACCGUAUACGCUCGAGAGAGGAAAGAUUUAUCGCCUUUAGACGGGCCCGCGUAGGAUUAGGUAGUUGGUGAGGUAACGGCUCACCAAGCCUACGAUCCUUAGCUGAUCUGAGAGGAUGAUCAGCUACACUGGGACUGAGACACGGCGCAGACUCCUACGGGAGGCAGCAGUGGGGAAGCUUGGACAAUGGGCGCAAGCCUGAUCCAGCUAUGCCACGUGAGUGAAGAAGGCCUUCGGGUUGUAAAGCUCUUUUACCAGGGACGAUAAUGACGGUACCUGGAGAAUAAGCCCCGGCUAACUUCGUGCCAGCCGCCGCCGUAA
rnacentral:rRNA from 1 species